AUUUCUUUCCUCCAUCUCAAUUUCUCCUCGCAAACAACCCACCCAUGAAUUUCUAACCCAAAGAUUGAUUUUUCUUGCACACAAAAACUCAACUUCAAAUAAAAAUUCAUUACUCAAAUCAAAUCACCCAAUAACUCAAUUUCUCAUUCAAUUUCAUCAAUCCAAUUGAACAAAAAUUCGAGCUUAAUCAUGGAUAUAAAUAGCCAUAUUUAUUCCCUCAAACCACACACUCACAAUUCGCUACUUCACUAUAAUAAAUCACCGGAAAAUUGACCCCAUUUCUGCCGAAAACCGCCACCCAAAACACCACCCAAACACCUUUGUUUUUCACACAACCUCCCACUCUCUCUCACCCCUCUGUUUUCACCAUCGCAACACCACCUUUGGACGUUGCCACCGUCGCUCAUCACCAUUACCACCUGGUACCGCCGUCUGUCUCUGUGCGAACCAACAACCACCCACCACACCGCCAACCCGCACUUCUCUCUCUCGCUCAGUUUCUCCUUCUCACCCAGUUCUUUCUUCUCUCUCUCCUCUGUUUUCUCUACCCGCUGUCGCACCACCCAGACCACCUCUGUUUUGUCACCUCCCACACCAGUGCGCCUCCUGUGCCUUACCAACCGCACUGCCAAGCCACCCAUGCUCCCUGUCUUCCUCUCUCGCCCAAACUCUUUCGUUCUUUCUCGUGUCUCCCUCCUCUUUGUACCGUCGAGCCACACCUCAGCACCACAGCACCCCGCACCUCUCACCGUGUAGCCACUUUCUGCCUCGCCUCCAAUCGCCGGAGCUCCGACCCUCCUCACUGGAGUCUGUGUCGUGCUUCAAUCAGUGGGUAUGCAUACAAAGAUGGGAUGACGUAGCAGUGAGGAUUAAUUUACUUUAACUCAUGCGACUAUGACGGUUAUGUAAUCCAUGUUUAUGAUCACUAAAUUACGUAACAUCAGCUAUGCUCAAGCUAUCUAUAUAUAUUUCUAGAAUUACUAUAAAUGUUAUAGAGGUAUGGUUAUAUGAAGGAAUGUUUGCCUUGUACUUUCCGGGUGGAGAGUAUGGCAGUGACGCACCGACUAAGCUAUAAAGGUCUUCCGCUGCUAAUCUUUGUAAAUAACUAACCUAAUAAUAAUGCUUAGAGGUCGGGGUGUUACAAUUC